GAUUGAGAGAUUGAAAGCUCUUUCUUGAUUCUUUGGSUGGUGGUGCAUGGCCGUUCUUAGUUGGUGGAUUGCCUUGUCAGGUUGAUUCCGGUAACGAACGAGACCUCAUCCUGCUAAAUAGUGGCGAUUGCUUUGGCACUCGGUACACUUCUUAAAGGGACUGUUGGCGUCUAGCCAAUGGAAGUAUGAGGCAAUAACAGGUCUGUGAUGCCCUUANAUGUUCUGGGCCGCACGCACGCUACACUGAUACGUUCAACGAGCUCCUUGUCCGAAAGGUCUGGGUAAUCUUUGAAACCGUAUCGUGAUGGGGAUAGAACAUUGCAAUUAUUGUUCUUCACCGAGGAAUGCCUAGUAAGCGCGAGUCAUCAUCUCGCGUUGAUUACGUCCCUGCCCUUUGUACACACCGCCCGUCGCUCCUACCGAUUGAACGUGCCGGUGAAGCGUUAGGACUGGAGGGUUAUCUAGGUCUCCUAGACUUCRCUCCGGGAAUUUCGUUGAACCCUCCCGUUUAGAGGAAGGAGAAGUCGUAWCAAGGUUUCCGUAGGUGAACCUGCGCAAGGAUCAUUG
rnacentral:rRNA from 1 species